CCAAAGGCUCUUUUCAGAGCCACCCACACCUUUCACAUAAAGGCU
rfam:Myotis brandtii contig187581, whole genome shotgun sequence.